rnacentral:lncRNA from 1 species
AUUUUGUUAAAAUGAACAAGAUUAGGUACCGAAAUGGCACUAAUUGGUUAAUUAGUGUAAUCAAGUCCCCGAACCUAAAUUCUCUGGUUGCGUAGGAAGUGAGGCACGCUCCCAUGCCUCACUUGGUUUCUAGCCGACCCCAAUAGGCUAGUGGCGACUCCUUUUAUGCAAAAUUUCUUAAGAAUAUCCCAACGUCACGCGGGGUAUGGGCUUGGGAGAGCUCGCGCCUGAUCAUGGGCCUUAG